rnacentral:rRNA from 1 species
AGUGAACGCUGGCGGUAGGCCUAACACAUGCAAGUCGAACGGCAGCACAGUAAGAGCUUGCUCUUACGGGUGGCGAGUGGCGGACGGGUGAGGAAUGCAUCGGAAUCUACUUUUUCGUGGGGGAUAACGUAGGGAAACUUACGCUAAUACCGCAUACGACCUACGGGUGAAAGCAGGGGAUCUUCGGACCUUGCGCGAUUGAAUGAGCCGAUGUCGGAUUAGCUAGUUGGCGGGGUAAAGGCCCACCAAGGCGACGAUGCGUAGCCGAACUGAGAGGAGGGUCGGCCACACUGGAACUGAGACACGGUCCAGACUCCUACGGGAGGCAGCAGUAGGGAAUCUUCCGCAAUGGGCGAAAGCCUGACGGAGCAACGCCGCGUGAGUGAUGAAGGUCUUCGGAUCGUAAAACUCUGUUAUUAGGGAAGAAAAAAUGCGGAAGUAACUAUGCACGUCUUGACGGUACCUAAUCAGAAAGCCACGGCUAACUACGUG